rnacentral:rRNA from 1 species
GAUGAACGCUGGCGGCGUGCCUAAUACAUGCAAGUCGAGCGAACAGACGAGGAGCUUGCUCCUCUGACGUUAGCGGCGGACGGGUGAGUAACACGUGGAUAACCUACCUAUAAGACUGGGAUAACUUCGGGAAACCGGAGCUAAUACCGGAUAAUAUAUUGAACCGCAUGGUUCAAUAGUGAAAGACGGUUUUGCUGUCACUUAUAGAUGGAUCCGCGCCGCAUUGGCUAGUUGGUAAGGUAACGGCUUACCAAGGCAACGAUGCGUAGCCGACCUGAGAGGGUGAUCGGCCACACUGUCACUGAGACACGGUCCAGACUCCUACGGGAGGCAGCAGUAGGGAAUCUUCCGCCAUGGGCGAAAGCGUGACGGAGCAACGCCGCGUGAGUGAUGAGGGUCUUCGGAUCGUAAAACUCUGUUAUUAGUGAAGAACAAAUGUGUAAGUAACUAUGCACGUCUUGACGGUACCUAAUCAGAAAGCCACGGCUAACUACGUG